CCCAGUAGAAUAUGGUACGUUUGUAGCAUAUAUAUUAUUAUACACAAGAAAAAGAAAUACUUGGAGAUGGAAUGAAACGUCGCUUAGCUAGGAGAUAGAGAAAAAUGAACGUUUGGCCGGAGGUCUUCCCACGGCUCUCAUGAGAUUAGAGACUUCAAGAACCCUAGCAACCUCCGUUCCUCUUUUUGCUUCCGCCGUCGCUCUCCUCUCCUCCGCCUUCCUCUGAGCUUUGGCCACUUUGUUCUGUGUUUUCUCCAUCGCCUUUGCUCUCCUUUCUUCCAACUUCCUCUGCAGCCAAUCAUCAUCAACAUUACAACAUACAUAUUGUCAUUAAACGCUUUAAAACACUUUUCUAAUAUAUGUGUGACAAACGUUCAUAAAAAUAAUAUAUAAGUUUAAAACCUUAUUCCUUUGAAAUAUAUUUUAACGUACACACGGGGUUACAAGACUAUAAUCUAUAUAAUCUCAAAAUAAUAUGUUAAGAAAUCAAUAUUAACUAGUGUUGUACAUAAACUUAACAUAACUAGUUAACUAAUGCGAUCUACUAUAAACAAACCUCGAUUUUCUUCAUCCAAGAGUUAGCUUUAUGGACCUGCUCAUUUAACCAACCGUUAAUAAAAGCCUCUUGUCUCUUAAACCUAUUAUUAAUCUUAGCCAACUUCGCCGUCUGCCACGCCGUUAUCUUAGCUUCCACCUCAUCCCUCUUCACCCUCUGCACCGAGGCAGCCGUCACCAUCCGAUUCUGACCACUUGAUGAAGUCGUCGUCACAAUAUUCUCCGAACCGGCCCGGUUAUCGUAACCGUCCGGUACGAUCGCCCACGGGUUUGUAUCUUCUUCAGGCACCUGAUGAUGCUGAUCACCACCACCACCGUCUUCAUCUUCACUGAUCCUAGUCAGCUCGUUUAUGACGUCACGAUGACUUAUGGAUUGGUUGUUCCCGUUGCUGUUGUUGUUGUUGUCCAUGGAAGAGCCUGCGAUGACUAGAGCGUUGAACUCUCUGCUCACCGUGGUGAAGUUCUCUCCGGCAGAAGAAGCUCCGUCGCUAAAGUUCACAGACCUCGUCGGAGACAAGUGUCCUCCUCUUUGCUGUGGACGUGGAAGCUCGGUGGUCGUCAUAGCGUGAAUAUCUCUCACGACGGUCUCAGACGGUGGAGUCUCGUCCCGGCUAUCGGAAGCAUCGGUAGUCGUGGUGGUGAUCUCUGUUGAUGAGCUAUCUUGACUGUACAAAGUCAACAUCAGAGUUGUGGCUAGCUAGUAGUAUACUGGACUGUGUGAUUAGAAGCUGAGCUCUUGAUGAUACUAAUUAGACGAUGAAAGAAGGACACCAAGGCAAGGAAGAAUAAAUAAUCAAUGAUUAUGGCUUAAUCAUUUUGUGUAACGAAUUGUUUAGAUGAGAGGUGAAAAUAUUAACAAGUGUCAGAGUCUAUUCCAUGAAAGCUACGUUCGUCCAGUAAAUAAGCGACUACAUUAAUAUUUUUCAAAGACGUGUUCUCUUAGAUAUUUUAGCAAGAGAUUGAUUAACUAAUUCAAUUCGGUGGAAAAUUAAUUGAUUUAAAUUAAGCCUAAUUUAAUUUUACACACUUUUAACCUAAUUCGAUUCAAUAUUUUUUAUUUAUUCAAGAGCAUCUUCAGAGAUCUUUAAAAUUAAAAGGGGACUUUAAUCAGCGGGUAGUCUUUUUAUUUAUAAGAAUAAUUUCAUGAAACUUUCACAUUGCAAUAGAUCAAUUUCUCUUGAUUUUUUCUUUUGAAAUGGAAAGAAUUAUCGUAGUGCAAGGAGUGUCGGCAAUAGGGGACCUACCACGAAAAUGGGAUAAUGCUUGUGGACCAAGCUACAAGCUAACACGUGUCUCUCGGUAAUAAAAGUUACGUACGUGUCAUUAAAUGAGUGGUAGCGUGUCCCCGCCAAAAUAAGAUGCCCACGUCAGCUUUUGAAUGUGCUCGAAGAUCCCAGUAGGAAAAUGGCACGUAUCAAAUGUCAAUUUAUAUCAUAUCUACCCUUGUUAUUUUUUACUCAAUUAUACUAGUUUCUUAUAAUAUCUCAUACAUUUGACCCACAUGAUUAGUAUUUUAUAUAAAUAGUAUCACUUUGUCAAAAGUUUUAGAGUAACAUUGCUAGUUUGCUUUGCUGCUCAAAUAGUUAAAGACGAGUAAAAUCAAGAAAGAUAUAGAAACUUGGACUGAUACAUAUCUCGAGAAGAAAAAAGUUGAUACGAUGCAGAUUUGAUCGUGGCAUAAAGGGUUUAUAAAAUAUGUUUCUACCAGGACUGGACAUUUCAUCCGUUAAAUUUGAUUCGAUUUGUUAUUCGUUUCGAUUCGAUCCGAAAUUUUAGGAUAUCCGUAAAUUUUUGAAGCAAAACAAAUAUACUAAAAAUCAAUAUACGUUAAAAUCGAAACAAAUCACAAAUAUCAAAAUUUUGGGAAACGGAUAUCUGCUCCGAUCCGGAAAUAUAUAAAUAUAUGUACAUCUUGAUUAUACUUAAUGCUUUAAAUGUAUAAGUUUAUAUAAUUAUUUUAUAACAUAUGAUUUGACAAAUUCUAUUCACAUUAUUACUUAUAUAAAAGUAUUACAUAAAAAAGGAGAGAAAAAUAUUAUAAAACAAUUAUAAUUUUUAUUUUUCUUAAGUUUUGUGUUAUUAUAAUUGUUAACUAAGUUUAAAAUUUACAAAAUAUGUAGUUUCACUAUUUCUUUUAGUUUUUAUUUUAUAUAUCAUGCAAAAAAAUAUAUUAAAAACUCAUCCUCAUAAGUCUCCUUCAAAGUAACAACAUUGGGAUGCUCAGGCAUAUGCCUCAUGAUCUCAACUUCUCUCCUAACAUCCUCUAUAUCCACAGCCGUCCUCAGCUUCUUCUUCAGAAUCGACUUACACGCGAAGACCUCUUCGGUCUCUUUGUCGGUACAUAGGUACGUGACACCGAACUCUCCACGCCCUAGCUCUCUCCCCAGCUUGUAUUUCUGGGAGAUCUCGCGACCUGUUGGAUCCGUUAGCACAAUAAGCUUGAGAGGUUUUACCUUUCCACCUCCGUUAUUGCCGUGGUGGAGGCCGUAGUCGAUGGAGAAAGGGUUUUGAUUCUUCCUUCCUUUUGUGGGCUUGUUGUUAUCGUUCUUGGCUAACGAUCCCGCCGACCCGCAACAAUUACCCAUGGCUUCAACAAUGACGGAUCAAGUCAAACCCGGUCGUAGCUCGAGAGAUCGAGGGAACUUAAUUGGGUAUAGAUUCACGAGGUGUGAUUCCAAGAUAAUGGGAAGAUCAAAGGAUGGUUACUUGGAAUGAAAUUGUGGAUGAGACGGGUAUAUAUGUGGGAAUGGAGGAGGGGAAGAUCAUAAACGCGUGAAAAUCAAAGAAGAUGGAUCGAAUCAACGUCAAAAUAUUUUUCUUGUCUGAAUCAAAUUGUUUUUAUGUUUUGUCUGAAAAUCAUGAAAAUAAUUUACAGACAUGAUGGAAGGAAAGUCAACAGAAUCUUCCUCCCUAAACUGUCUUGAUUUUUUUUCUGUAUUUUGUUUUUCAUUUUUUUUCUAAUUUCUUUCUUUCUGUUUUUUUUUUUUAAAUUCUUCACUUAUAAAAGUUAUUAACUUCAAGACUGUGUUUCCACUUUCCAAUAAUGUGAAAUCGAAAUCACUGGUAAACAUAAAACUCUUAACAGAGAAAAAUAAAUAAAAACGCGAGUCUGUAUCACGUUUUAGGCUUUUAGCUGAUUUGAAGGAGGUAGUAAUUGUAAAUAAUAAUAGCCGUCUUCUUUAUUUCUUUUUGUUUCUUUUAUUAUUUUUCUACUAUUACGGUCAAACUAGGCGAUUUGACUCUUUCGUCGAACCCAAGUCACGCAACUAACAAUAUUUUAUUAUUGCCAUCCUACUAACAGCAUAACUGAAAAUAUGCCAAAUCAAAUAUAUUACUAGAAUAGUGGAAUUUUAUUUUUGUUUUUUUUCAACUGUGGACAUUGUUGAUUAUUGAUAUGAGAAUUUGUUAUUUUUCUUAGAAGAAGCAAAAGCUAUAGAAAGGUGUUAGUACGGGAAACUUCCUUACAAGUUAAGACUAUAUUACAAAAAUACUAUUAAAAAGCAAAGUCAGUGGAGUAUGAAACGAGGAAGCGAGAGGACGAGUCUUUGUCAAAAUGUGUUUAGAUUUAUUUGAGAUCCAAAGAUCAAUGAUAGUGAUGAACCUUACUUAAUCCUUUCAUCUUCACACGAGUGUUUCUGUUAAUCCUAGAUUCUUACCAAGUUAAUGAUUUCUUUAAUUUGUUUACUUACAUUAACACAAAAGGUCAAUUAUCAUUAAAAAUAUAUUAGGCAAUAAACUUAAGAGAUUUAUCUUUGUUUUCUAGAAAACCUUCCAUCAUUAUUUCAUUGCUAAAGACUUUUGCAUGUUGCCCAUCAAAGCUCUCUCUGACCCAAAAACAUUGAAAGGCUUUCUAGACCCAUUAAUGAAUUAUGGUAGAAGACCAGAUGAGCAAGAAACACAUAUGAGAUCUCUGAAAAAGAGAUCAUUUAGUUCACAUUUCACAUUUCGCACUAUUACAUUUCAACUUUCAUAAAAUAUAAUAGGAUAGGUAUGAAAAGUAUAAAAGAAUAAUCAUCCUAGUCUAGUUACAAUUUAUUCAAACCAGGCAUCUCAGAGUUUGAUAAAAUUCCCCCAACUAGUGCUCUAGUUUUGGAAUGACAAAACGAUACAUGUAAGCUAAUAACCUUAUGUGGAAAACAUACAAUAGAUAUUACAUUCUAUUUAUACACAUUGAUUCCCAGUAUAAUAUGGUACGUUUAUAGCAUAUAUAUAUUAUUUAUACACAAGAAAAAGAAAUACUUGGAGAUGGAAUGAAACGUCGCUUAGCUAGGAGAUAGAGAAAAAUGAACGUUUGGCCGGAGGUCGUCCCACGGCUCUCAUGAGAUUAGAGACUUCAAGAACCCUAGCAACCUCCGUACCUCUUUUUGCUUCCGCCGUCGCUCUCCUCUCCUCCGCCUUCCUCUGAGCUUUGGCCACUUUGUUCUGUGUUUUCUCCAUCGCCUUUGCUCUCCUUUCUUCCAACUUCCUCUGCAGCCAAUCAUCAUCAACAUUACAACAUACAUAUUGUCAUUAAACGCUUUAAAACACUUUUCUAAUAUAUGUGUGACAAACGUUCAUAAAAAUAAUAUAUAAGUUUAAAACCUUAUUCCUUUGAAAUAUAUUUUAACGUACACACGGGGUUACAAGACUAUAAUCUAUAUAAUCUCAAAAUAAUAUGUUAAGAAAUCAAUAUUAACUAGUGUUGUACAUAAACUUAACAUAACUAGUUAACUAAUGCGAUCUACUAUAAACAAACCUCGAUUUUCUUCAUCCAAGAGUUAGCUUUAUGGACCUGCUCAUUUAACCAACCGUUAAUAAAAGCCUCUUGUCUCUUAAACCUAUUAUUAAUCUUAGCCAGCUUCGCCGUCUGCCACGCCGUUAUCUUUGCUUCCACCUCAUCCCUCUUCACCCUCUGCACCGAGGCAGCCGUCACCAUCCGAUUCUGACCACUUGAUGAAGUCGUGGUCACAAUAUUCUCCGAACCGGCCCGGUUAUCGUAACCGUCCGGUACGAUCGCCCACGGGUUUGUAUCUUCUUCAGGCACCUGAUGAUGCUGAUCACCACCACCACCGUCUUCAUCUUCACUGAUCCUAGUCAGCUCGUUUAUGACGUCACGAUGACUUAUGGAUUGGUUGUUCCCGUUGCUGUUGUUGUUGUUGUCCAUGGAAGAGCCUGCGAUGACUAGAGCGUUGAACUCUCUGCUCACCGUGGUGAAGUUCUCUCCGGCAGAAGAAGCUCCGUCGCUAAAGUUCACAGACCUCGUCGGAGACAAGUGUCCUCCUCUUUGCUGUGGACGUGGAAGCUCGGUGGUCGUCAUAGCGUGAAUAUCUCUCACGACGGUCUCAGACGGUGGAGUCUCGUCCCGGCUAUCGGAAGCAUCGGUAGUCGUGGUGGUGAUCUCUGUUGAUGAGCUAUCUUGACUGUACAAAGUCAACAUCAGAGUUGUGGCUAGCUAGUAGUAUACUGGACUGUGUGAUUAGAAGCUGAGCUCUUGAUGAUACUAAUUAGACGAUGAAAGAAGGACACCAAGGCAAGGAAGAAUAAAUAAUCAAUGAUUAUGGCUUAAUCAUUUUGUGUAACGAAUUGUUUAGAUGAGAGGUGAAAUAUUAACAAGUGUAAGAGUCUAUUGCAUGAAAGCUACGUUCGUCCAGUAAAUAAGCGACUACAUUAAUAUUUUUCAAAGACGUGUUCUCUUAGAUAUUUUAGCAAGAGAUUGAUUAACUAAUUAAAUUUGGUGGAAAAUUAAUUGAUUUAAAUUAAGCCUAAUUUUACACACUUUUAACCUAAUUCGAUUCAAUAUUUUUUAUUUAUUCAAGAGCAUCUUUAGAGAUCUUUAAAAUUAAAAGGGAACUUUAAUCAGUGGGUAGUCUUUUUAUUUAUAAGAAUAAUUUUAUGAAACUUUCACAUUGCAAUAGAUCAAUUUCUCUUGAUUUUUUCUUUUGAAAUGGAAAAAAGGAAAUGGGAAAAAAGAAUUAUCUUAGUGCAAGGAGUGUCGGCAAUACGGGACCUACCACGAAAAUGGGAUAAUGCUUGUGGACCAAGCUACAAGUAACACGUGUCUCUCGGUAAUAAAAGUUACGUACGUGUCAUUAAAUGAGUGGUAGCGUGUCCCCGCCAAAAUAAGAUGCCCACGUCAGCUUUUGAAUGUGCUCGAAGAUCCCAGUAGGAAAAUGGCACGUAUCAAAUGUCAAUUUAUAUCAUAUCUACCCUUGUUAUUUUUUACUCAAUUAUACUAGUUUCUUAUAAUAUCUCAUACAUUUGACCCACAUGAUUAGUAUUUUAUAUAAAUAGUAUCACUUUGUCAAAAGUUUUAGAGUAACAUUGCUAGUUUGCUUUGCUGCUCAAAUAGUUAAAGACGAGUAAAAUCAAGAAAGAUAUAGAAACUUGGACUGAUACAUAUCUCGAGAAGAAAAAAGUUUUGAAACGAUGCAGAUUUAAUCGUGGCAUGGAAGAAAGGGUUUAUAAAAUAUAUAUCUAUCACAGGUGUCUACAAACUAGAGAGUUUGGUAUUCAGAAAAAAAUGUGGUUUGAAGUAAAGUAUGUUGCCGAGUUACUCGGCACGGUAUGCAUUGAUUCACCGAAUCAAGCACCGAUUAUAGUUUGUGUGGAAAGGAAGAAAUAAACUCGAGAAAAAAAUAUAAAACUUGUUGCGAUUUGUAAAACAAUUGGGUCAAGCUGGGCUACAAAUCAUCGCAUUUUCAGCAGAGCCCAAUCAACUAACCCAUUUUGAUUGAUGUCAGAUUACAGCUUACGGCACGAAUCAUCAUCAUGGGAUAGAAAAUCUUUGUGAUUUUUUCUUUGGGGGUGGGGGUUGACAUAUCAUAUAAUGAAAUUGACGGAUACCAAUAGAAAAUAGGAUAGUUAAAAACUUGUCAACGUCACAAAAAAAAAAUCAAUUGCUUGAAUGCAACGUUGGAAACACGUUAGUGUGUAGCAUCCAUAAGGAGACCAGGUCGUAGUCCACGACGUUGUCUCUUCUAAUUCUAAUAGUAUUAGUGUCACACAUCAUCUUUUUGUUUUCCAAACUGAAAAUGGUUUCUAGAUCGCUUUGGUCUAAGAAAAAAUUACUUUGUCUUCUUCCGAGUUCCAUCUCCUAGAAUCUCAUUCGUAUUACUCAACUGAAUUUUUGUGAUCCAAAAUAGUUUUGUUCCUAAGCAAUAUCUCUAACACAUUUCUUUUUUUUUUAUAACCGUGGGGACUCGGCGACGACUGAGGUCAACCGACUAAUUCCACGAAACCUACAGCACUCUACGAAUUUUAGCCAUUUAAAGCAGUUCGGGUAGCCAACGGGAAUCGAACCAAAAUUUCUCCGUAUUAUGUUUAUUUUCUCUCAAGCGCUACUGGAUUACUACCGUUGGUUAAUACAUGUUUUUUUUUCUUGUAGCCUUUUUUUUUUCGACAGAUGACCAACAUUCUCUAUAUGUUCUUGGAGAUUGAUAUUACUCUAGUUGUCGUUCAAAAACAAAGAUAUUAUUCUAAUUAAUCCAUUUGAAUUUUGGUGCCCCAAGACUUCGACUACGUGUUAUCCAGAUUUGGCAGUUUGGUUUGUUCCAAUUGUGUGAGUUUCCACAUGGUCCAUCUGUUUGGCUGAGAGUUCGAGCUCUGGUUAGGUGAGAACUAUGGCUACUACAAGGAACGUUCCAGUUUAUGAGAUGCCAAGCGCAAGAUACUAAAUGUACUUUUUUAGAUUAAGAAAUCGUAUUUUAGUCGACUAGUAUUUAGUUUAAAAAAAAAAAAAGAUUGGUUCAACUAUUGUGGUUAAAUAGUUAUAGCCCGAAAAAUUUGCAGCUCUUUUGAGUUUGAGUCUGUCUGACCAAACUUGAUGACACGCAAUAUAUCCAAAGGGUUUCACACGUCUUACCGAUAUAUAGAUUCUAGAAAUGUUUAAUUAUUGAUCAUGGAUAAUAUUAUUUGCGCAAAUGGUCAUAUUGGACUAUUCUAUACAAGGUACUGGAAUAACGAAAAAGAGAAAUGUUCCAAGGUACAAGAAAAAGAAGGACGAGGACAAAACUAUGUAUUGAUGUCCUUGUCCAUUUUCCACUAUUCAGAAUUGGAGGACUGAUGGUUUGGUCAAAAUCAUUUUCAUGUUAUUCAAACUUUGAAUUUUUGGGGACACCUCUCAUGUUUAUAACUAAUCUCGUAUGACUUUGUCUAACAUUAGUCUCACGUUUUACAUAAUUAUAUUUUUUGUUAACCUCUUCUAUACGUUAACUAAUUGUGGUCCAUUUUGUUUAGUCGUCUGAAAUUCUUUCAGUCUACCGCUUUUGGCUUGCCUUUCGAAGAAGUUGAUUUAAAUCUUAUCAUUAGUUUUAAACCUAUGCAAGCUCCGAAUAGUGAAAAUGAUCUUAGUAACCAUUAUCAUCGUCUAUAAUGAUGUGACAACUAAAUGACCGACGUGUCAUCUAAACUGGACGAAUAUGUAUUUAAUAAAUGCUUCUCUUUUGAACAAAAAAAAUUGUGCUUCUUAAUUUUUUUUUGGAAAACUAUACAUUUUAAUGUAUUCAUAUUAAAUUUAAGGUUAAAACCUGAUGCAAAGAGAUAUUUGGAUAUAUUCUGAAUAUUCUGAUUAUAUAGUUUAUUAUUAUAUAUUAGAUAUUUAUUUUACUUAGUUAGAACUAUCUUAGAUUAGAAGUUUCCUUGGUCUAGUGGUCUGACCAAAAGUUCAUUAAUGUUUCCACACCAGGAGAUCUGAGUUUCAAUUCCUAGAGAAUGCGGAAUUAUGUGAAUUAAAAAAGAAAGUGCUUACAAGAGAUCUACAACAUGGCACAAGGAAUACUGUCAAGCGUGGAUCUGAUAGAGUGGCUCAGCUGAUACAGUCAGGCGUGAAUCCUCAUACGACAUGUAGAAUUGUUGGCUGUAGAAUUGUAUGUAAUAUUUCUCAUAGUUGUAAUAGCAUAAUUAUCCAGCGUUAAAAAAAGAACUAUCUUAAAUUUUUGUACUAGUUUUAAAAUUAUUUUGUUUUUAUAUAAAUAAGUUUUUUAUUCCUAGAAUUGUAUUCAACUUAUGAUUUGAUUAAUAAAAUGAAUAUUUCUCUUUUUAUUUCUUGUUUUCAUUAGAUCUAUAGAGAUCUCAACGAACUUUAAAAAGGUUUAGUUUCUCGAGCAUUCACAGAUUAAACGAGAUAUUUGCAUUAUUAUACUUUCGCAGCACCAAAACCUAAAUUUAAAAUCACAAGAUUUAUGCAUCGAUUUAUAAAAUAAAAACUACCACCUAUCUGUAAGAAAAUAGGAUACUUGAUGUAUUGAAUGGUUUUUAUUAUUUAGUCUGUCUACUUGAAUGUUUGUCAUCAAACAAUUUUUGUUCUCCACAUUUGCAUCAAAAAGGUGAAAACACUUAAUAUCUAUUUUGUUUUCAAAUAAAAUACUUUAAAAUUGAUCAGCUGUAAAUUUUAAAAUCUAAAUCCCCAAAACCAAAAAAUAUAAAAAAUCGAUCGUUAAUCUAUAAUUAACUUUAGAUAGCAAAACAAUAUUCCCGAUUCCUCCAUGUACAUAUGCAGGUUAUAGACUCAUAGUCUACACGUAUUACAUUACAUAUAAUUGAGUUAAAAUUAGAAUGGUGUGAUCUUAAUAUUUAUUCUCUCCGUUUCUAAAUAAUACAUAUUUUAAAAUUUUCACAAAUAUAAAAAAAUAUUUAAUUAUCAAUACAUUAAUUUUUAAAAUUUUAACAAUUUUCUAUAAAUUUAAAUCAAUAGCAAAUCAAUAAAUUUAAAAUUGUCAAUUAACAUUUUUGAAAGUUUACAAUUUAUUAUUAAAGAUACAUAUAAAAUCUAAAACAUUGAUCUUUUACGGACAACUAAAUAGUAGUAUAACAUGCAUUAUUUAAAAAGAUACAUAGUAUAUUUUAUACGUAAAAUUUUAAAAUAUUAUUUUGUCAUUAAAUGUACUAGUCCUGCGACUUCGGUUUUCCGAAACCGAACCGUCAGAUUUCGGUUAACCAAAAUUUUUAAAACAUAUUCCAAAAUUAACCGAAUUAAAUUUUGGUUCAGUUCGGUUAUCAGUUAAUUUCAGUUUUCAAAAUUAUUUCCAAAAAUAAUCGUUUUUUGGUUUUCGGUUAAUGCCGGUCUAAUUUUCCAAAAAAAUCUGCUAUUUUCUGUCAAAUUCGGUUAUUUCGGCUAAUUUGAGAUAUUUUCGAUUUUUUUGUAUAAAUUCAGUUCAAUUUUUUGGUUAUUAUCGGAUAUUUUUGGUUAUUUUUGAGUUUUUUUUAUUUUUUUUUGAAAGUCAAAAACCGAACCGAACCGAAAACCGAAUUACUUUUCAAAAUCGUAUUAAACUAAACUAAACUCAAAACCGCAACCGAACCGAAAAUCAAAAAUUUCGGUUCUGGUCGGACAAAAGUCGCAAGGCUAGCUAAAAUGUACAAUGGUUAACUAUGCGUAUCAAAACAUUUAAGUCAGCAUUAUUUUACUAAAGUACAAAAUGAUUGCACGUGACUUACCAAGUUACCAACGAAUCAAAAUUAAUUAUUCUUAGAUCAUACUUAUUGUAGUAGUACUAUACUAGCAUUAUAAAAAGUUACUCCAUCUUUCCGUAAAGUUAGUGCCACUUAAAUUUCAAAUGAAAUACAUAUACUAAAAUAGCAGUUGACACAAAUUUCAAAAUAUUAACACCUCCUUCGUAUCUCAAUAAUAAAUGUGUAUGAGGAAUAAAGUUUUUUUUUUAAAUAAUUGUUUUGAAUUUGCUAUGCCUUUAUGAUAAUAUUGGGUCUGAUAAUAUUUCAUAUCAUUUCUACAAGUUUUUUUUUUCUAACGGAAGGAUCCAAAAACUAAUUUCACUAAAUCUUGAUAUACAAUAUUCCAAUUAAAGUACGGUUAGAUGAGCACCACGAAUUGAACCCAAAUAACAGAAGUUUGAGGGUUAUUGGUUGGUAUAUUUUGAUGGAUUUGAAAAUCCAAACUAAAUCUAGUGUUAUUGAUUUUAUGAUUUUAAAAUACGUACUGAAAUUAUGUGUUAUUCGUUCAAUGAUUCAUAAAUUCUAAUUCAAAUUAAAUGUUAUUCAAUCAUACGAAUUUACUAACAUAUUUGAUUUUAUAAUGUAUUUGAAUGGAUUUGCAUGGAUUUCUUUGUUAAAAAUAUAAAGGCUCAAAUCCGAGGGAAAACCUCCGGAUUUGUAAAUACUAAUCUGAAAGAAUUUAAAAAUUUGUAUAUUUUACUUGGAUUUAUAAAUACUGUAUAGAUUUCUAAAUGAAUCAAAAUAUAUAAACCAAUAACACUUAACCGGAACUCACUACGACCAACACGGCUUGGUUUAUUCUUACUAAUUGGAGCGUUAUUAUUUGAUAUCUCUCAAAUAAAAAAAUUAUUGUAUAUCUAUUAAUAUUAUAAUAUUAAAGUUUUAAAAAAAAAUCAAAAAUGAAAAGUUUUAGCAAAGGUCUUUCAAUUUUUUUGAAAGACUCUCACAUUAUAAUAUUAAUACAUACUAUUUUUAUUUGUUUUUAAGAUGUGGAUGUCUAGGAAUUAAUAUAAAUCUAAAUCUAUUAGUAUAAUUUUUGAUAUUUGUCUUAACUCAACCUUUUUAAUCAAAAUCAAAACUCUAAUUAAACAUCAUUAUUAGAGUACACAAAUAUAAUAACCUUAAUAUAAAAAAGAAGGUGCUCCGAGAUUUCCUAGGAGGGUCACACACCGUCACGGCCGCUUUUGUCUCCAAGUUGUCUUGGGACUUGUCGACGAUUGCACAUCAAAUUCCAGACACAGAGAUUAUCAAUUCGCCAUAAAAACUGAUACCUUCUUCUUCAAAUAAAGCACCCCCAAUAACUUGUUUCUCAAUUCUCUCGUCUCCCCACUUUUUUUCAUAAUUUGCCGAUAUAAAAAUACACAAUCCUCUCGCUCCAAUUCGAUCCAAAAAGCUUUCGUCUUUCCUAAAGGUAACGAACAAAUGCUUUCUGGGUUUGGCUUCUUUUGUUCUAAUAGACUGUUUUCAUUGAGAUCCCUGUUUACGUUUUUUCCAAAGUUUUGUGUUUUUGAUGGGUUUUGAAAAAAACAGAGAAAGGUCCAACCUUUAUUUUGUUGUUUGUUUGUUUGUGUGUGUGUGUUUGAUCUCUUGUGUUUGUGAUUGUGCGCAUAGCUCAGGCUGAGUUGGAAGCAUAGAAAAGCCUCUAUGGUGAGCCUCUUUUUGGCGCGAUUCACUUCGUUGCUCUUCUUUCUUCAUUGCUUUCUCACAUUCUUUUGAUUUUCUUAUUUUAUAGGGAGAAGCAGCAGCUUUCUUUGUGGAUCAUCUGGUUAAUGGACAACACACCAAUGGCUUUGGCGAAGACAGAGAUACAACUGUCCAAAUUGGGGAUCGAUCCGUAAGCCUAUAAUGUUUUCAGAAUGUGAAACUAAUCUUGAAUGAUUCUUAGAACUAAUCUUGUUUAUCUUUUGCAGUAUGUGAUUGAUGGAAGUCAUGAAGGGAACCCUUUGUUCCUUGGAGUUCAGAUCCAUGACAAAACCACUAACAAGUGGUGUGUAUUAUAUGAUCCCAUCUUGCUCCAGCUGUUUCUGCUUCAAUUAAUGUUGGAGUGUGUUUCAGGUCCAGUCCUACUGUUCUUGGAACAGGUCCUAAGCCCUGCAAAGGCUACUCCGCCAUUGUUCUUAAACAAGGACGGAUCUUGGUUAUCAAAAAAGGCUCAGCUUCCGACGACUCAAUCUGGUUCCUUGAGGUUAGUUAGUAUCUAGAAACAUCAGUGUUGCUUUGUCUGUUUGUUUUUCUCAUGUGUCUGAACAUUUUGACAUUAGGUGGACAGUCCUUUUGUCCGGGAACAAAGGAAACUCUUAGGGAGAGAGGUUGUUGCUUGGAGCAAAGGAGUGAGAGGAAACGCUGAGAAGCCUAUUGUGAUAAGCGGUCCUUCAGGAGUUGGCAAAGGAACGCUUAUAACGAUGCUCAUGAAAGAGUUUCCUUCGAUGUUUGGGUUCUCUGUGAGCCACACAACUAGAUCUCCGAGGUGUAUGGAGAAGAACGGUGUUCAUUACCAUUUCACUGAUAAAACUGUGAUGGAGAAAGAGAUCAACGACGGGAAGUUUCUUGAGUUUGCUUCUGUUCAUGGUAAUCUAUACGGAACCAGCAUUGAGUCUGUUGAGGUUGUAACAGAUUCAGGAAAGGUAAUUAUAACUUUUCUUAUGAUCUGCUGAUCUUUUAAAAUGAUUUAACUUUAUCUUCUUUUUUUCUGUGUUGUUAUAGAGAUGUAUUCUUGACAUUGAUGUUCAAGGAGCGAGGUCUGUGAAGGCGAGUUCUCUUGAUGCUGUAUUCAUAUUCGUUUGUCCUCCUUCAAUGAAGGAGCUUGAAGAUCGGCUCCGUGCUCGGUAACAAUCAUGACUUUUUUUAACCAUAUGAGCUGUUGUUUCUUCAGAUCUUUGAAUGUUUGUGUUAAAAAUAAACAGAGGAACUGAGACAGAGGAGCAGAUUCAAAAGCGGCUUAGAAACGCUGAAGCUGAGAUCAAAGCUGGGAAGUCCUCAGGCAUUUUUGAACAUAUCUUGUAUAAUGACAACCUUGAGGAAUGCUACAAGAACCUCAAGGUAAUCUAACUCGCAUAAUCAUCCUCUUAAAGCAGUUUGAUUGAUGAUGUACAACAAUGGCUCUCUCUGUUCUCAGAAUCUAUUGGGGAUAAACGAUGACGCUCCUGUGAAUGGUGUAGAAGGUAAAUAAAAACCAAAACUAAAAGAGUGUAGACGCAAUGUAUAUACUAAUUAGGUUUGACAAGUAAUCUUAAUUGGAUUGUUUGAUGAAAGCAGUAGAAGGGAUCAGUCUUCCCAAGGAGCACACAGUGACAAAGAAGGAAGAUAAGAUUAUGAUUCAAGAAACAGGAGAAGCAACCAAGAACGACAUGUAAGUUCUUGAUUUUUUUUUAUUUAUAGAUUGAUCUUUCUAUAGAGUUUAUAUUAAUGAAACGUGUUUUGGUGAGCAGGAUCGUGUUGGAUUUAUCUUCAAUUAACGGGGGAGCACCGGGAAGAACAAGAGGGAUAGUUCUGGACUCGGUGAAGUCCAGUUAACAAAGAGUCUUUUCAUCUUUUCUCCGCUGGAAGCUAAAGUGGGAAACCAUCAUGAACAUUGCUCUUUGUUUUUUUUAAUUGUUUGGCUUUUUGGCGGUUGAAAGGUAGUGUGAUGCGUUCACUAGAUAGGGCACUGAUGAUGAUGAUUAUUAUGAUGAUACAAAAAGACAUGGAUCUGUUUUGAUGAAAUAAUAUGUUCUUUGUUUCUUUUUACUGAUUAAAGAUUUUUAUUUAAUCUAAAAAUCUUGAAAGAAUCUAUUCUUUUGGUAUUAUUAGGACAUGAAAAGUAACAAAAGGUUGAAAUCAGUGCAAUGGGUUAUUCUUGAGAUUCCGCAACUCGAAUAGGACAGACAAAAGAAAAUUAAUUUUGAUCUUACACAACAGUGUUUUAGUGUUCGGACAUGGAGCAAUACAGUUAGUGUCAGUUUACAGUUGAAAACUCAGCCAAUCAAGUAGAAGAAAAGCAUCUCAAUAAGAGUGAAAGAAGACAAAAGCUAUUUAAAAAAGAGAGCAACUUGGUGGGACUUUGGAAUUAAAAUGGGUCCUUGAAUGAUCGCAACUUGCGUAGAUUCGUGGGUCCAAAAGUCGGUGGCAGUGUAAUUAAAGGAAGGUUCGUCGUAGCCUACCAUCUCUGUCUCGUGUGCUCCACCACUCUGUUUAAAGUAUCUAUCUGGGGCCAACCAAAUCAUACCACAUCAGUGUAUGCUUUGGAUUCAGCUGUUCCUUGAUUGGGUCAGACCACAGAGGAGAAGAAUUGGGAUCAAAGGAAACCCAAGAAUGAAACUUAGGCCCAAAUGAGCCAGAACAGGAACCUUUCGCUGAGAAUGUGACUAGUUGGAUUAAAAGAGAUGAUACUACACACUUUCUACUUUGAGUUGAUUACCCAUUAAGACACUUUUCUGUCUUUUUUGACACAAAAACACACUUCUUGCUGGAGGGGCACUUUCUCCAUACAGGUGGCAAAAGGUGGACAUUACUACCCCUCGCUGGCUUAACUGGGACAGGAAGGAGAUGUUUGGCGUUUUGUUAAACCAUUGUCUGGUUAGUUGGGACCAAAGUAAGGGGAGAGAGUUUUGUCUUGUUGUGUAUCCUAGUUAACGUUAUUUGUUAUUAAGGUAGGUGAGCUGGGCCAUUCUUAACCGUUGGAUGAAAACGAAUCUAAAGGUGAAGGACGUUUUGUCUGUAAAGAUGUAGGUAUGUCAUUAAAUGCAUGUAUUCUCUUCAUCUCGACGACGGAGGAAGUUCUUCGACGCCGAAGGUAAUUUUUAAAGAUUGUCUAGUUUUUUAGUUCAACCAAAUGUGAGGAAAGAUAUGAACUUUGUUGAAUCAGAUUUUACGACAAAUUUAGGUCUAAAAAUUGUAGCUUUGAUGGUCUCGUAGGUGAAGGAAGAAGAACGUGUACAUCGGCGAUGGAUGACCAAUGUUUGGUUUUGUCAGGUGACUGGGUAUGCGGAGAUGAAGGGAAGUGGGAUUUUGUCAUCGAAAAGAACCAGAUGGGGAGAAUGGUUGAGAUUCACCCCGGUUUGGGUUUCAAAGAACUUGAAGAUAACGUUCUCCGGGAGUUUAGACUUGAUGAAGGGCAUUUCCGUGUAUCACUAAGCUACUGGCCACCAUCAAGUUUUGAGCUUGCGACCGGUAUCCGAACGCCACCGGUACUUAUAACAAGUGAUUGCUCUCUGAAGUAUUUCUGUCAACAUAUGAAGGUAAAAGGAGGGAUGAACCUGUUUGCUCGGUUUGACGCAAAACCAAAAGACGUGGACACUGAGGUUGUGGAUGACAGUGGAAUGUGUUUUGUUUCACCUACGGCUGCUCGAUUUCAAGGAAGUGGGGAGUUUGGGUCAGGGCGUUCUAGAAAAGGGUAUUUAUCAUCUGCAGCAUCGAAGACCAAAGUUAUUAAUCUAGAAGAUGAUGAUGACUUCGUACGUGAAGUUGAGAAAGUGGAAGGGAUAAUGUUCAGUGAUAGUUGCAAGGCAGAAGAAGUCAGUGGUUGCAGUUUGGGAACUGAUGAAGAAGAGAAUGUUGAAAGGGAGCUGGACGAGAUAGAGUUGAGGCCUAGGGGAUAUGAUAAGGAGUUUUGGGAUCCGUUGCUAGCGGGCGACUAUGGAGGUUCUAAUGCCGUCAAUGUUGUGUUCAACGAGGAUGAGAUUGUUGAAGGGUUGAAGAAGAAGAAUGGACCUCGUUCCUACUUCUGUGACACUAAUAGUUGUUUUGACCAUUGGGUUGAAGUUGGUGGUGGUAGCGUUGGAGAUAACAAAGCGAAAGUGGAGAAUUUUGGGGGCGUGGGGAGUGAUGAUGUUGGGAGUGGUGGUGGUGUGGGUAGUGGUGGUGGGGGAGUGGUGGUGGUGUGGGGAGUGGUGGUGCGGGGAGUGGUGGUGGUGUGGGGAGUGGUGGUGCGGGGAGUGGUGUCAAUGUUGCAGAACAAGGAAGUAGAAGUAGGGGCCCGCCGCGGAGGCUAGAGGAUGUUGAUGACGAGGAAUUUGAUAUUCCCCCUCUUUUUGAUGACACAGAAUAUGAUGCAGCUGAAAUUCCAGAUAUGGAUGUGGAUGAGGGUGAUAGUAGUAGUUGAUAUUGUGGCAGCCAUAAGCUUACUUUGCUCGUCGAUAAGUUUUCUCAUCUCCAGGAGGGCGUCUUCGAUGUGUUUGUCUUGUGCUUGAAAGCGUAGUGUCGUCGACCUCUUAUAAGACUCAAUCUCGGCCUGUAGCUGACAUCUUUUUGCAUCUAGAUUGUUUAUCUCAUCAACAAAAGCCUCAUCAACCCAUUUGAACAAGUGGUGUUCUGAUUUCCUCUGUUGACAGGAAAAAAUUAAUUUGGGAUGCAGACGAGAUGACAAAAAAGAACAAUUGUUACGAGUUACCUGAACGGCAAUUUCACAUCUGUAGAAUCUCCGGUAUAGGUUUUCCUUCGUUUCGGCGGCGUAGGUUGUUAGAUUGGCUCCACACCAGCAGCGAGUAGGUAUGCCAACUGUUGAUCUGCGUUGAACGGAACGAGAUGAAGAGCUGUUGGAGCUCAUGGCUGGUGGGUGGUUGAUAAGCAGUGGCGGCGGAUACCCUUAAUUGAGAAAAGAAAAGCGAUGCGGUCACCUAAUUGAGCGACAAAAUUCAACCAAAUGAAUUAGAAAUGGCGGACCGGGUAUUGUAGAAUGAUUUUAAAGAAAAAUCAUAAAGAUCUUGGAUAAUUAUUAUUGUUUUAUUAUAAUAUUAAAUGAUUCCGAAACUCACUAUUUGAACGUGUGGACGUGGACAGGACAAAUUGAUGUGGUUGUGGAUAAUUGAGAGUGAUGAUAUAGACAAUAAUUAGAAGAGUAAAUGAGAAGGCAUGUUAUCCGUAACUUAAAGUUUAAACAUUAAGUAAGCACAGCGUAUGUAGUUUCUUGCCCGAAAGUGGCAAGCAUCGCACCCAAAACAUAAAACAACAGGUCCUAAACUCCCAUAUGUUACACAAAAGGUAGGAGUAAGUCGAACAACGUUUUAUAAGAAGAGAUACUUAGGCUAAAGGCAAGCGGAGAGCAUAGUAAGAUGGCAUGACAAUAGUCUUGUAGAUGUCCAGAGCGUACUGCUUCCUUAUGUCGUCAACUGCUUUGUCUGUUAGGCUCUCCAUGUGAUGGAUUGGGUCACCAUGGGCAUGCAUCUCAAGAAACUUCAUGCUGACGGGGCCGCAAUCACCUGAGCGCGUAUUCAAGCAAAGAGGACGCCGUCGACGAUGAUAAUCAACGCAAGUCGUAUCUUCCUCCAUUGAGACAUCUUGUGACCUGUUUCGAGCAUACGACAUAGUUCCGCAAUCGUUAUGGUCUUCUUCUUGCCAAUAACUCUUUUCCAUACGUUGUCUUUGCCAGGAACAACAGAUUUAGCAAUGUCUGGGUGAUACCCUUCCGGGAAGGGCCGACAGUCUAAGCCGGUGACGGUACCAAACUCUUGGAGACCGUAACGGAGAGGCUUCCCACCAAAAGCCGUCCAGAGCGUGUGUUCUGGAAGACAUAGAAGUUGACGCGAGAGGAAGGAAUGAAUCAUCUUACAGGAAACUGGAGCUUGGCGGGCAGGGAUGUCGAAAAGCUUCCCAAAAGGUGACUGGCGAAUAGUAUCGAACUCCGGAGUACCUCGGAGAACAUGGCGAAUGAACGGCAGAAUCUCCGGCGAGGAGUAGAUAUUGAGUCGCCUGACGGGGAACCUAUCAGUUGCGAAUAAUCUGGGUGGGAGACGGAGGUCUUCUCCGACUGUUCCUAAUUUAGCAUUGAUGUUAGUGAUGAGAUGUGAAAUCAAUAACUAUAAAACCCUAAUUUCUAAUAAAAACCCUAAUUUCAAUAAAAGCUUAAAGAAACGUAAAAGCUUAGAGACUAACCGUCGAUUUGCGUUGGUGGCGUCUGCUGCGUCGUCUUUCCUUUCUUCUUCUUACACUGCGGUUUCGUCAUGAUUCGCGGGAGGAGAAUGAAGAAAAGGUGGAGAUGAAGAAGACAAUCGAGGAUUGGAGAUUUCUGGGUUUGAUUUGGUGGAGAAGGUGAAGAAGGUGACGAUGAAGGAGACAAUCGAGGGAGAGUGAGUCGCCCAGUCUAGGGUUUGUCAAUUGGGGGAAUCGUAAAAGCAUAUAGGAUAAUGUUUUAAUUGAACAUAUAUUUUUGAAAUUCGAAAUUCAAACAAAUAAAGAAUAUUCAAUAAAAAAAUCAAAAUACUUUUAACCUUAGUUAGGAUGUCCAGUUAGUUCCUCUAGUUAGUAUUAGAUAAGGUUUCAUAAGAUUGAGGGUAUGUAGGACAUUGCACAUGAAGAAUGUGUGCCUCCAGCAAGGAGUGUGUUAAUGUGUAAUUCCAAAGACAAAAUGUGUCCUAGGAGGUAAAAAAUUCUUCUACUUUCUAUCUUUUUGGUGUAAGUCAUUUCAUUAGCAACUAGUGUUCAGGGAGUACAAUUGUCUCUGAAAUACAGAGAUGGGAUAUAGCUUUUUAGCCAUGCAGUCAAACCUAUCUAUUGACAUUAACCCUACUAUAAAAGAAAAUCAAUUGUUACACAAUUUUAAAUAAGUAGAUCAAAUUAUUGAGAAUUAACCUAUUAAAUUUAAAACAAAAUAUCUUUUAAAUUACCAUUUAAUUAAUAUGUAGUCCACAAAUGAUUUUGUUUAUUUAAGUUAACAAAAACCACUAAUAGAUAAUUAGAAAUUGUACUAUUUAGAUUGUAUUAUGUUAAUUUGCAUUCUUUACCAAUUUAUAUGUUUUUCAAAAAUCAUUAAAUAAAUUAACAAUUAAAUUGUUAUUUUGAGAAUAAAAUACACAAUAUCUAAAUUUUUUAGUUACUUAUUUUAAUUAAAAUGUUUAAGAAUAUUUGAUGUGUAAAUUAUAAAGACAUAUAGAAAACACAAACAUUGCUUACAUAAAAUACAAUGCUUAUUUAAUAUAUAUAUAGCCAAUUUAAAGUAACCAGGUAAAUUAAUAAUUUAAUUUGCAAUCACAAAUUAUAUGACCAACGCAUUGUAAAUUAGAUACAACAAAAGUUUAUAUUUGCAAUUUUAUUAAUAGUAAAUUAUAUUUCUGAUUCUACGAAAAUAUAAAAAUAGUAAUAAGUUUAUAAUAUAAAAUAUUAAAAAACUGUACUACAUAUUCACGAUAAAAACUAUAUGUAUUUUAUAUAAAAUUCUAGUUUAUACAAUGGGAAGAAAUUAUUUUUCAUCGUUUCUUAAUUUUUUCGUUAAUAUAUUAUUUUCCUAAUUUUCGUGGUUUAGUGGUUUGUCUCUUUUCUAUCUUCGUCUUUACUAACAUUCCAAACAUCCAAUUUUACUUCCAUUUCUAAACACAUCUCACCUGGUUACUUGAGUGGUCAGACGCUAUCACCCCUCCCAACUCUAAUCAAUCACACAUCUAUCCCAAUCUAGUCAUUUGCAUCACAUUGUAAUGAAUAAAAAAUUCAAAAGAUUAUUAUAUAAAAGUUUAUUUGUAUCGUAGAUCAUUUAUAAUAUAUUUAUUAUGUUUAAUUAGAAAUUAAAGUAUAUAUGCUAUUUUGGCUUUUUACAUUAAAAAUACAUAUUAAAAAACUUCAUUUAUCGUGUAUUUAAAAAUAAAUUAUUUUAAAUAUUUAAUCACAAUACAUAUUUCUAUAUAGAGACUAUGCUGUGUCCCUCUUGGCUAUUUUAUUUAUACGGUUUUUCAUAAUUUAUUUUGUUUAAUGUAAGCAUAUGUAACAUUUGUAUUUUACUUUAUGAUACAGUUAUUUAUGCAUAUUUUUUAAAAAAAAUCGACAAACAUAUAUUUAUUAUUUUCUUAUAUUUAUUUAUUUAAUUAUAUUGAUUUUUUUAUCUUUCCUUACUUUUAUAUAUACACCCUUUUAUGGAUCGUAAUAUGCGGCCCAACACCCGAACAAGUGCAUAAAAGGUAGUAUGAUUGGAGUGUUGAACUUUGGACUCAGGGAAAACUGAUUUUGGGAGGCCCACACCCUUAAAAUGUUUAUCGGCAGCAUACAGGUUUGACAGUUAUGUUCAUGUCCUGCAUGAUAUCUAUAGGAUGGACACAACCCGACCGCUUAGUCAUGUUCAUGAUGUCUAUAGGAUAGAAAACCUGACCGCUUAGGCAGGUUUUGUUUGUGUAUCCUAUGGCCAUCAGGAACUAACCAAAGCAACUUAAAAUCAGGAAGUAACUAAAUCAUGAAGGAUCUAACAUAUGCCAAAACUCUUUGCCUAAAUAAGAUAGUUUGACAGAAUGUAGAAAUAGUAACAAAGCUAAGCAAAAGAGAAAGAGAAAGAACAAGAUUAACUCAACUAUCCUUAUUGUCUCCAAAGAGAGAAAAAGAUUAACUCAACUAACCAGACAGCAUUGACAUUCCCAAAUACAAAAAAAAACAUGAACUUGAUUUUGAUGAUUGAGAUCAUCUAUUACAUCAAACUUCAUCCAGUAAUCAUAGUUCCAGCUCCUUCAUCAGACAUAAUCUCAUGAAGCAGAGAAUGCUGUCUCCUCCCAUCAAUAAUACUAGCCGUCUUCACUCCUUGAGCAAGAGACCUUAUGCAACACUUAACCUUCGGAAUCAUCCCACCAGCAACUUUCCCUUCUUCAAUCAUCUUCUUCACUCCCUUUAUAUCAAUCUCCUUCACCAAGCUUCCCGGAUCAUCUUUAUCCUCCAAGAUCCCUGCCACAUCGGUCAGCAGAAUCAGCUUCUCAGCUCCAAGCGCCGCCGCGAGCUCCCCCGCCACCGUAUCUGCAUUGAUGUUGUAAGCUUGACCAGCAUCAUCCGCCGCAACAGACGCAAUCACCGGAAUGUAACCGUAAUCAACGAGAGGACGCAGCACGUUGGGGUCAACUCUCGCAACUUCUCCGACAAAACCUAACUGAGCUGAGUUAGGUACAGGUCGUGCGGUGAGAAGACGUCCGUCGUGUCCCGACAGCCCCACUGCAGUAGCUCCGGCCGCGUUGAUCAACGAUACGAGAUUCUUGUUGACUUUUCCGACAAGAACCAUUGAGACGAUCUCCAUCGUCGUUGCGUCGGUCACGCGAAGACCGUCGCGGAACUCAGCUGGGAUGUUGAGUUGUUUCAGGUAAUGGUUGAUGUCUGGACCUCCGCCGUGGACGAGGAUGGGGCGGAGACCGACGCACGCGAGGAGGACGAGGUCGCUGACGACGGAGGCUUUGAGCUCCGGAGACGUCAUGGCCGCGCCGCCGUAUUUGACGACGAUGGUCUUCCCUCGGAAUUUUUGGAUGAAGGGUAAGGAUUCGGAGAGGAUCUCGACUCUGUAAUCCGGUGAAGGUGCGUUUCGGGUUGCGUUUGAGGGAGGUGGCGAUACGGCGGCGUUUAUGGAUAGGCAUAGACGCUGGUGAUUCUUGCGAGGUGGAAAGCAGAGAGAUGAGGAUCUGGAGGUUAAGGUUUUCAGAGGUGUGAAGGAGAAGGAUUUAGGCGGCGCAUUGGAUGUGAUGGUGGUGGCCAUAUCUGAAUCUUACCGGAGGAGGCGGCGGCGAAAAUCCUGAAGCGAAGCGAGAGAGUGUCUGAGUUUUUCGUUAAAAUGAUUUAUGACAAACAGUUAGUGAGCCAAUGAAUAUAAGCCACGUGGGUAAGAGACUUAAAGACUCUCUGUCCUAACCCUAGGUUGGGACCCAUUAAAAUGUUUGCUUCCAAGGGGCUUAGGCUUAGGCUCGGCCCGGCCCAGCUUAUAAAAUUACAUCAUCGGAUCAUUGAUAAAUUUGUUUUGAAUUAUCAGCUAAGGUGUGUCUUGAAUGAUGAUUUUUUUUUUUCAUUCUUUAAUCUAAAAUCGAUUCUCACUUAAGAUUAACAAAAAUAUGUGCUUUAAUAUACUGUAAGAAAAAACUGCUGAAAAAUGUCUUACAUUAUAAACAAGCUCAAACACUCGUUCUAUUUUCAAUAGUGCAUACAUAUUUAAAAAAAAAAAAAAUCAAGAAUGGAAAUUUGAUAGGCGACAAGAUAGAACAAUAAAAGAAAAGCAACCGCGCAGCCUUUCUCUCUGAUCAAGAAACUUAAAGACCUCUCUGGUAUGGGAAGCUGAAGGCAACUGGCAACACCACACUCAGUGACAGGCAAGAUUCAGCUGUCUUCAGUUACAAAAACCAAAAAAAGAAGAUUCAGCUGACUUUUUU
rnacentral:lncRNA from 1 species